AUCCAGAUAGCUCGAUGGCUGAGCAUCCGACUGUUAAUCGGAGGGUUUUGGGUUCGAGUUCCACUCUGG
rnacentral:tRNA from 1 species